AGUGAACGCUGGCGGUAGGCCUAACACAUGCAAGUCGAACGGCAGCACAGGAGAGCUUGCUCUCUGGGUGGCGAGUGGCGGACGGGUGAGGAAUACAUCGGAAUCUACUUUUUCGUGGGGGAUAACGUAGGGAAACUUACGCUAAUACCGCAUACGACCUACGGGUGAAAGCAGGGGAUCUUCGGACCUUGCGCGAUUGAAUGAGCCGAUGUCGGAUUAGCUAGUUGGCGGGGUAAAGGCCCACCAAGGCGACGAUCCGUAGCUGGUCUGAGAGGAUGAUCAGCCACACUGGAACUGAGACACGGUCCAGACUCCUACGGGAGGCAGCAGUGGGGAAUAUUGGACAAUGGGCGCAAGCCUGAUCCAGCCAUACCGCGUGGGUGAGGAAGGCCUUCGGGUUGUAAAGCCCUUUUGUUGGGAAAGAAAUCCAGCUGGCUAAUACCCGGUUGGGAUGACGGUACCCAAAGAAUAAGCACCGGCUAACUUCGUGCCAGCCGCCGCUGUAA
rnacentral:rRNA from 1 species